GGGGAUUUAGCUCAGCGGCAUAAGAGGCAUAAGCGCCUGUCUUGCAAGCAGGCAGUCGUGAGUUCAAUCCCCG
rnacentral:tRNA from 1 species